CCCGAAUGCCUUGCCAGAAGAAUCUGACAGGCUGAAUGGGAGAGAAGAAUGUUGUCAGGGGCGCAGGAGAAAGGCGAGAGAGACGCUGCUACAGCAUGGCUUGAUGAGUGGUAUGCAGUUCUGUGCCCAGGAUCCAAACCCAGGAACACCAGGCCACCGAAGUGGAGUGUGCAAACUUAACCACUAUGCCACCAGGCCGGCCCCCAUGAAGAACUCUUUAACACACCUUUGGGCAUUCUUGUUGGGCUUUCUCUAUCUCUCAAAGACCUAAGGUCCAGAGUAUAUUUUGGGAAGGCUUGCUUUAUACUCAGAGAGAAUUGCUUCCUCCUACUUUAAAAACAGAAAGGAAGAUAAAGAUCUCAUUUCCAUAACACAAUGUAUAAAGACAACCUGAUUCAGCUGAUGACUGCCAAGCCCUUUGAUGGGUCCCCUCAGAACCAUAUUCAUAUGAAGGGUAAGGUUAUGAAUGAAAGAAUUUGAUUGUUUGCG
rnacentral:lncRNA from 1 species